rnacentral:rRNA from 1 species
UACGUAGGGUGCAAGCGUUGUCCGGAAUUAUUGGGCGUAAAGAGCUCGUAGGCGGUUUGUCGCGUCUGCUGUGAAAACUCGGGGCUUAACCCCGAGCCUGCAGUGGAUACGGGCAGACUAGAGGUAGGUAGGGGAGAAUGGAAUUCCCGGUGUAGCGGUGAAAUGCGCAGAUAUCGGGAGGAACACCGGUGGCGAAGGCGGUUCUCUGGGCCUUACCUGACGCUGAGGAGCGAAAGCGUGGGGAGCAAACAGG